ACUAUCUAUUUAAAAUUAAUAAAUUAAAUAAAUAUUUCUUUAUAUAUAUGUGUAGGUAAUAGCAAGUUAUGAAAUAAAAAAGUAUUCAAAAUAGUAUGCCAACAGAUGUUAUAGCACAAAUAUAUAUGUAACAUAUAAACUCAUGUGUAUUAAUGUACGUAUGUACACAUAACUUUAAUGCAGGGCCGAAUGAUUGAAAAAUUAACUUUUCCUUUCUUUUACAUAUGGUCAAUGCCACUUCACUGUCACAUGUAAACAUAUUUUUCAUUCGAGUAAUAGAAGCACAAUAUAGCCUACUAUGAUUCGUUAUUUACUAUAAUAACUUUAUUUCUUUUUUUAACAGUGAUUUUGAAUAUUAUCAAACCAUAUUUUUACGUCCAAGUAUAUGUGGUGCACACAAUUUGCUACUAGUUAUAUAAUUUUCACUGUGGCAUUACCUUUUUUAAAAGUAAUUUUCUUACCUCGAAGCUUUAGUAGUGAUCUAGCUGUAGCCGCCAUUCCUAAUUCGAAUCUUUUAAAAAGAUGUUGACCUAUUCAAAAGUGUAGAAAAGUAAAAAUUAAUCAGAUUGAGCAAAUUAAUUUUUCUUUCGUUCGUUCGUGUGUGAUAUCAGUGCCGACUUACAGCAGUAAAGUAAAAUGCAGCCAGGGAUGUUAUUUUUCAGUAAUACAAGAUUUAAGGGAACUUUUAUUCCCUCGAAUGGAAUAAAACCGUGAUAAAUCACUAAUUGAAAAGUGAUAGUGCUACACUAUUGAAAUAACAGAUGCCAUAUGCUAUAAAAACAGGGAAAAAUAAUCAUAAAAUGACAGUUUGUCAGUUUUAAAGAUACGAUCACCUGAUCGAAGUGUCAUAAAAACAAAUUUUAACAGGCAAGUUAAAAAUGGGGUAACCAAAUAUCUCUUUUGAAAUAAAAGAUAUUCGUUAAUCUCUGAUUUUCGACCAAAAGUUACAGAAUGAAAGUGUAGAUCACCCAUAUCUAUACGUGUUGUACUAAGUUACCUAAAUAACGAUUUCAAUCGUUAUUGUGAUCGAUCAACACUUUUUUCUGAAAACGUCAAAUAUUAAAGCAUCACAAUCGAAAGCAAAAUGUUAUAAAUAAAUUUACACAAUUAAUAAAUAAAUAUUUCUUUAUAAUGUAAAACUUUAUUUUAAAAUGUUAUAAUUCCUAGAAUCUCUAUCUGAUUGUAAAAUUGUCAUAACUUAGUUUCGCAGUUUUAUGAAUAUAUAAUUCCUACAUUAAUCUAUUUUUUUUUAAAUAUAAAAGACUUGUGACAGUUCUGGACAUGCAAAAAUGUACAUACAUUUAUACACCGGUGGUUUAAACUUAUUAUUUAUUGUAUAGACGUACUCAUGUACACUUCAUUGACAAGAUUUGUAAACAUUUAUAGCAUCUGCAUGUUUUUUGUUUU